rnacentral:rRNA from 1 species
UACGUAGGGUGCAAGCGUUGUCCGGAAUUAUUGGGCGUAAAGAGCUCGUAGGCGGUCUGUCGCGUCGGCUGUGAAAUCCCGAGGCUCAACCUCGGGUCUGCAGUCGAUACGGGCAAACUGGAGUGUUGCAGGGGAGACUGGAAUUCCUGGUGUAGCGGUGAAAUGCGCAGAUAUCAGGAGGAACACCGGUGGCGAAGGCAGGUCUCUGGGCAACAACUGACGCUGAGGAGCGAAAGCGUGGGGAGCGAACAGG